GACGAACGCUGGCGGCGUGCUUAACACAUGCAAGUCGAACGAUGAAGGAGAGCUUGCUCUCCGGAUUAGUGGCGAACGGGUGAGUAACACGUGACUAACCUGCCCCUUUCUCUGGGAUAACGCUCCGAAAGGAGUGCUAAUACCGGAUACGAACUCUGAACACAUGUUCGGAGUUGGAAAGUUUUUCGGAAAGGGAUGGAGUCGCGGCCUAUCAGCUUGUUGGUGAGGUCACGGCUCACCAAGGCGACGACGGGUAGCCGGCCUGAGAGAGCAAGCGGACAGAGUGGGGCGGAGCCAAGGCCCAGACUCCUACGGUAGGCAGCAGAGGGGAAGAUGGCACAAUGGGCGAAAGCCUGAUGCAGCGACGCCGCGUGAGGGAUGUAGGUCUUCGGAUUGUAAACCUCUUUCAGUAGGGACGAAGCGAAAGUGACGGUACCUAAAGAAGAAGCACCGGCUAACUACGUGCCAGCCGCCGCAGUAA
rnacentral:rRNA from 1 species